CUAAGGAUGAUCCUUCAGCGAGCUCACGCUCACUAUCGGAUCGUUUUAGAAACAUUCAGGGGCCAACAAUUUCAGGAUUGUUGAGCUCCAUCGGCGGGAUUUCGCCGUCUUCGUUUCUCUUUCUUCGCGGACGAACACGCGCCAGGGGCUGAGCGCUGUGCGAUGCAUCGACUUCACGUCGGAUGCGCGCCGGCAUGUCUCUCGUGUUAGGGGCUUGUAGCUCAGUUGGUUAGAGCGCGCGCUUGAUAAGCGUGAGGUCGGAAGUUCAAGUCUUCCCAGGCCCACCACGCUUCGCCGUCGGCUACGCGUGGCGCGGCCACGUAGCAGACGAAGCGAAGUGUGCCCGGCAUAGCCCAAAGGGCGACGGCGGGCUCAAUGUGAGCAUUCGUCUUCUGGUACGGGGCCAUAGCUCAGCUGGGAGAGCGCGUGCUUUGCAAGCAUGAGGUCGUCGGUUCGAUCCCGUCUGGCUCCACCAGAUGGAGUUGAAGCUCGAGAAUGCGCCCUGCUUAAGAAGCUCUGUUCAAAUUCGUCCGCGAAACAUCACUUCGCACUCAUUGGUCCGGAUGGACGGUGACGUGCGUGUUUUCUGACAUCGUAAAGAGGAGAUCGAUCCGAGUUUGGAUCCAGCGAAGCAAUUCGCGGGUACCAUUCCUAAUCUCCAGAUCGUUUUCGGCGCUCGCGCAUCGCAGCUCAUCGCAAGAUGAGUGAGAUGAGCGAGUUGUAAAACGAUCUUUGUAGCGAAGCUUGACCGCCUCGCUAUCGGGCCGAUCUUACGAAGCAAGCUGGUCUUUCUAGUCAAUGUCCGGCUGCACAUAGCGCUCAUCGAGGGCGUGCGCCGCAAGGCAAUUGUGCAGACAACGUUCUGCCGAGUGUGUGGACAUUGAUAAUGAGAGCA
rnacentral:tRNA from 1 species